rnacentral:lncRNA from 1 species
UUGAUGUCAGACAAUUCCAUGAUGGAAGUUGAAGCUACUAUUCCUGCUGUUCCUAUUACAUCUGAAGCGGUUUCAGAAUCUACUUCACCAGAUGUAAUUGCUAUUCCAUCAACAUCCAAGGAAGUUACAUCUGAAGCUGUUUCGGAAUCUACUUCACCAGAUGUAAUCGCUAUUCCAUCAACAUCCAAGGAAGUUACAUCUGAAGGUCAGUAAAAUAUUUUAUAAACACAAGGCUGAAUACAGGGUGGCGCACCUCAUUCAUCUUGGUUGAUUAUACGAAAACGUAAAGAUAUAGAAACAAAAUAUUUUAUGGGUAUAUGUGGAAAGACAAUGUACUUAAUUUAAAAUUAUUUUAAAAUGUACAGGGUGUGUCAGGACUAAGAUCCAUACCAAAGUUAUAUUUUUUCUUAUGGAACACACGGUAUUUUAUUUCACUUUGGGAUUCUUGGACAUAAAAUAAGGUAUUUAUUAUAAGGGUUUAAUAUGUUUAAAAGGUUUGGUUUUUGAGAUAUUUAAAUACAUUUAAAUAUGCAUGUUAUAAUAACAAAGUUU